rnacentral:rRNA from 1 species
UACGGAGGGUGCGAGCGUUAAUCGGAAUUACUGGGCGUAAAGCGUGCGUAGGUGGUCGUUUAAGUCCGUUGUGAAAGCCCUUGGCUCAACCUGGGAACUGCAGUGGAUACUGGACGACUAGAGUGUGGUAGAGGGUAGCGGAAUUCCAGGUGUAGCGGUGAAAUGCGUAGAUAUCUGGAGGAACACCAAUGGCGAAGGCAGCUUACUGGACAAUAACUGACGCUGAUGUACGAAAGCGUGGGUAGCGAACAGG